ensembl:lncRNA
AUUCAGCCGGCAUUAGUCAGCUCCAUAAAUCACCGCUGCCCAUUGGCUGCGCGGCGGGCUUUGCAGUGGCCCUGGGCUGUCAGCGAAAUACAAAAUGUAGACCCCAGCGGCCAGCAAUCGUGGCCUCUCCCCCGUCCUGGCCCCCGCCUCACUUUUUUUUUUUUUUUUUUUUUUUGGAGGGGGGACUGUUGAGGAAAAGUGCCUUGACUUUAUUGACUGAGAAAUCUUACCUAUUCAAACAAUGGCCCGGAGACCACCGAGUGAAGGCUGGAGACAUGCCUGGAGUCCAGGACCAGGAGCGGGCAGUGCGGGAGAGAGAGAGAAAGCCGACCUGCCGCUGCCUGCCGCGCUGUUGGAUGCGAGCCUUACCAGUCUGAGCUGGAGCUGCUGGGACGCACGUUGCACCCCUUUGACAAAGCCUUUUAAAAUUUCUAAAUUGGAAGUAGGAGUGUGUGUCUGGAGAAAACUCAAUCUCAAGUUCCCGUCAGGCAGGCCCACCAAGGAAGAGAGAAGAAACAGGAUCAGUCUGCUCAUGCAUCUAAAUCGCAGCCUGGAUUUGAGGCUUACCUGUAAACCACAUAGGAAGAAGUCUGGUGGUACAUGUGGAGUUAAGGCAGUCUUCACUGGGAAGGAGCCUUGUCCUCUCAGCAGUUGAGGUUGAUUCAGAACUUUGGCCUCUUCUCCAAGCCAUAGAAGGAAGAUUUUCAGAAAAUCACUCAUAGAGAUUCAAGGGGUGGCCAUCACUCCCAUGGCAUCUGUCAUCACUGGGCGAUGACUUAAAUUUGCUUUGGCUCCCAAACCUCUGAGGUUGCUGUCACCCCAUUGCUGUAAUUCCACCCCCCAAUCAGCUCUUCCAAGUUCCUAAACAUCAAUUUAAAAAAAGAAAUAGAGAGAGAAAGGGAAGAAGGAGGAAGAGGGGAAGAAAAAGAAGGAAAGAAAGGAGGAAAGAAAAAGGAAAGAAACAAAAAGAAACAAAGCUUCAGUUUAUAAUUGUAAGAAUGCUUAAUAAUUCUGCAACAGUUGGUCAACUUCUCCAUUGUUGUUUUUCCACUGAUUCCUUGUGGGACGGUUUGGUUUGCAGAGAACAGCAUGCUCUUCAUAUCUUUUGUCUUCCCACAUUUUUUUUUUUUCUCGUUCUCUGAACAACCUUCUUUGAGUCUUCCAGGAGACAGAGCCUGUCCUUGAUAAAUAAUCAUUAUCUCAUGGAGCGCCCGCUGAAAUAAUGGAGGAGUGUAAGCAUGAGGUCUUCUUGGAGCAUAUUUAAUGAAAAUGGGACAUUGCCUGCAGGUGUUCAGAAUGCAGUCAUAUUUGAAGCACAGACCCAGCUUAGGAGCACCUCCCACAAGCAUGUGAUAAAGUGAGGCCUGUAGUUUACCUGACUACAGCGGUGCAGCCAGUGGUGGUUUAUAGAAACCAAUGAUGACCUUGCUGUGAAAAAACAGAAUGAGCAAACAUUGCAGCCCCAGGAAGGGGCCCAGGCUGGACCAAUCCAGCUUCAGCCUUCAAGCAGUCCAUAGCGUCUCUCCGCUUUCCAAGAGGAUGGAAGCAAGCCUUGGAGAGAACAAAGCGCCCGCCUUGGGCAUGUUCUUUCCCCAAACAGUCCUUCCCUAUUGCAGAGGCCAAGAAGCCUGCUUCGCGUACACCUCCCCACCUCU